rnacentral:rRNA from 1 species
CCUACGGGUGGCAGCAGUGGGGAAUAUUGGGCAAUGGGCGCAAGCCUGACCCAGCAACGCCGCGUGAAGGAAGAAGGCUUUCGGGUUGUAAACUUCUUUUCUCAGGGACGAAGAAAGUGACGGUACCUGAGGAAUAAGCCACGGCUAACUACGUGCGAGCAGCCGCGGAACUACGUAGGUGGCAAGCGUGAUACGGAUUUACUGGGUGUAAAGGGCGUGUAGGCGGGUCUGGAAGUCAGAUGUGAAAACCACGGGCUUAACCUGGGGCCUGCAUUUGAAACUGUAGGUCUUGAGGACUGGAGAGGCAGACGGAAUGCCUAGGGUAGCGGUGAAAGGCGUAGAUAUUAGGGAGAACACCAGUGGCGAAGGCGGUCUGCUGGACAGCAACUGACGCUGAGGCGCGAAAGCGUGGGGAGCAAACAGGAUUAGAUACCCGUGUAGUC